AUUGCCCCAGUAACGGCGAGUGAAGCGGCAACAGCUCAAAUUUGAAAUCUGGCUCUCGGGCCCGAGUUGUAAUUUGUAGAGGAUGCUUUUGGUGAGGUGCCUUCCGAGUUCCCUGGAACGGGACGCCAUAGAGGGUGAGAGCCCCGUCUGGUUGGACACCGAUCCUCUGUAAAGCUCCUUCGACGAGUCGAGUAGUUUGGGAAUGCUGCUCUAAAUGGGAGGUAUAUGUCUUCUAAAGCUAAAUACCGGCCAGAGACCGAUAGCGCACAAGUAGAGUGAUCGAAAGAUGAAAAGAACUUUGAAAAGAGAGUUAAACAGUACGUGAAAUUGUUGAAAGGGAAGCGCUUGUGACCAGACUUGGGCUUGGUUGAUCAUCCGGGGUUCUCCCCGGUGCACUCUUCCGGCCCAGGCCAGCAUCAGUUCGCCCUGGGGGACAAAGGCUUCGGGAAUGUGGCUCUCUCCGGGGAGUGUUA
rnacentral:rRNA from 1 species